ACGCUCGACACCUACGGGAAGCAGCAGUGAGGAAUAUUGGUCAAUGGGCGCUAGCCUGAACCAGCCAAGUAGCGUGAAGGAUGAAGGCUCUAUGGGUCGUAAACUUCUUUUAUAUAAGAAUAAAGUGCAGUAUGUAUACUGUUUUGUAUGUAUUAUAUGAAUAAGGAUCGGCUAACUCCGUGCCAGUAGCCGCGGUAAUCUGAGCGGGCUGGCAAGGC
rnacentral:rRNA from 1 species